rnacentral:tRNA from 1 species
GCGUUCAUAGCUCAGUUGGUUAGAGCACCACCUUAACAUGGUGGGGGUCGUUGGUUCGAGUCCAAUUGAACGCACCA